rnacentral:rRNA from 1 species
UACGAAGGGGGGCUAGCGUUGCUCGGAAUCACUGGGCGUAAAGGGUGCGUAGGCGGGUCUUUAAGUCAGGGGUGAAAUCCUGGAGCUCAACUCCAGAACUGCCUUUGAUACUGAGGAUCUUGAGUUCGGGAGAGGUGAGUGGUAACUGCGAGUGUAGAGGUGAAAUUCGUAGAUAUUCGCAAGAACACCAGUGGCGAAGGCGGCUCACUGGCCCGAUACUGACGCUG